GACGAACGCUGGCGGCGUGCCUAAUACAUGCAAGUUGAGCGCUGAAGGUUGGUACUUGUACCUACUGGAUGAGCAGCGAACGGGUGAGUAACGCGUGGGGAAUCUGCCUUUGAGCGGGGGACAACAUUUGGAAACGAAUGCUAAUACCGCAUAAAAACUUUAAACACAAGUUUUAAGUUUGAAAGAUGCAAUUGCAUCACUCAAAGAUGAUCCCGCGUUGUAUUAGCUAGUUGGUUAGGUAAAGGCUCACCAAGGCGAUGAUACAUAGCCGACCUGAGAGGGUGAUCGGCCACAAUGGGACUGAGACACGGCCCAAACUCCUACGGGAGGCAGCAGUAGGGAAUCUUCGGCAAUGGACGAAAGUCUGACCGAGCAACGCCGCGGGAGUGAAGAAGGUUGUCGGAUCGUAAAACUCUGUUGGUAGAGAAGAACGUUGGUGAGAGUGGAAAGCUCAUCAAGUGACGGUAACUACCCAGAAAGGGACGGCUAACUACGUG
rnacentral:rRNA from 1 species